UUGCGCAAUGGGCGAAAGCCUGACGCAGCAACGCCGCGUGGGGAUGAAGGCUCUCGGGUUGUAAACCCCUUUCAGCAGGGACGAAAAUGACGGUACCUGCAGAAGAAGCCCCGGCAACUACGUGCCAGCAGCCGCGGUAACACGUAGGGGGCGAGCGUUGUCCGGAUUUAUUGGGCGUAAAGAGCUCGUAGGCGGCUCGGUAAGUCGGGUGUGAAAUUUCAGGGCUCAACCCUGAAACGCCACCCGAUACUGCCGUGGCUAGGGUCCGGUAGGGGAGCGUGGAAUUCCUGGUGUAGCGGUGAAAUGCGCAGAUAUCAGGAGGAACACCAGCGGCGAAGGCGGCGCUCUGGGCCGGUACUGACGCUGAGGAGCGAAAGCGUGGGGAGCGAACAGGAUUAGAUACCCUGGUAGUCCACGCCGUAAACGUUGGGCACUAGGUGUGGGACGCUGUCAACGCGUUCCGUGCCGAAGCUAACGCAUUAAGUGCCCCGCCUGGGGAGUACGGCCGCAAGGCUA
rnacentral:rRNA from 1 species